GCCAGGUGUGGUGGCGCAUACCUGUAAUCCCAGUGGCUCAGGAGGCUGAGGCAGGAGGAUCACGAGUUCAAAACCAGCCUCAGCAGUGGUGAGGCUCUGAGCAAUUCAGUGAGACCCUUCUCUA
rnacentral:sRNA from 1 species